rnacentral:rRNA from 1 species
AACGAACGCUGGCGGCAUGCCUAACACAUGCAAGUCGAACGAGACCUUCGGGUCUAGUGGCGCACGGGUGCGUAACGCGUGGGAACCUGCCCUUAGGUUCGGAAUAACUCCCCGAAAGGGGUGCUAAUACCGGAUAAUGUCUUCGGACCAAAGAUUUAUCGCCUUUGGAUGGGCCCGCGUUGGAUUAGCUAGUUGGUAGGGUAAAAGCCUACCAAGGCGACGAUCCAUAGCUGGUCUGAGAGGAUGAUCAGCCACACUGGGACUGAGACACGGCCCAGACUCCUACGGGAGGCAGCAGUGGGGAAUAUUGGACAAUGGGCGAAAGCCUGAUCCAGCAAUGCCGCGUGAGUGAUGAAGGCCUUAGGGUUGUGAAGCUCUUUUACCCGGGAUGAUAAUGACAGUACCGGGGGAAUAAGCUCCGGCUAACUCCGUG